rnacentral:rRNA from 2 species
CAUCUUGAUUUAAUUUUGAACGAGUGGCGGACGGGUGAGUAACACGUGGGUAACCUGCCCUUAAGUGGGGGAUAACAUUUGGAAACAGAUGCUAAUACCGCAUAAAUCCAAGAACCGCAUGGUUCUUGGCUGAAAGAUGGCGUAAGCUAUCGCUUUUGGAUGGACCCGCGGCGUAUUAGCUAGUUGGUGAGGUAACGGCUCACCAAGGCAAUGAUACGUAGCCGAACUGAGAGGUUGAUCGGCCACAUUGGGACUGAGACACGGCCCAAACUCCUACGGGAGGCAGCAGUAGGGAAUCUUCCACAAUGGACGCAAGUCUGAUGAAGCAACGCCGCGUGAGUGAAGAAGGCUUUCG